GAUGAACGCUGGCGGCGUGCUUAACACAUGCAAGUCGAACGAUGAAGCCCAGCUUGCUGGGUGGAUUAGUGGCGAACGGGUGAGUAACACGUGAGUAACCUGCCCUUAACUCUGGGAUAAGCCUGGGAAACUGGGUCUAAUACCGGAUAGGAGCGUCCACCGCAUGGUGGGUGUUGGAAAGAUUUAUCGGUUUUGGAUGGACUCGCGGCCUAUCAGCUUGUUGGUGAGGUAAUGACUCACCAAGGCGACGACGGGUAGCCGGCCUGAGAGGGUGACCGGCCACACUGGGACUGAGACACGGCCCAGACUCCUACGGGAGGCAGCAGUGGGGAAUAUUGCACAAUGGGCGCAAGCCUGAUGCAGCGACGCCGCGUGAGGGAUGACGGCCUUCGGGUUGUAAACCUCUUUCAGUAGGGAAGAAGCGAAAGUGACGGUACCUGCAGAAGAAGCACCGGCUAACUACGUG
rnacentral:rRNA from 1 species